AUUGAACGCUGGCGGCAGGCCUAACACAUGCAAGUCGAGCGGAUGAAGGGAGCUUGCUCCUGGAUUCAGCGGCGGACGGGUGAGUAAUGCCUAGGAAUCUGCCUGGUAGUGGGGGAUAACGUCCGGAAACGGGCGCUAAUACCGCAUACGUCCUGAGGGAGAAAGUGGGGGAUCUUCGGACCUCACGCUAUCAGAUGAGCCUAGGUCGGAUUAGCUAGUUGGUGGGGUAAAGGCCUACCAAGGCGACGAUCCGUAACUGGUCUGAGAGGAUGAUCAGUCACACUGGAACUGAGACACGGUCCAGACUCCUACGGGAGGCAGCAGUGGGGAAUAUUGGACAAUGGGCGAAAGCCUGAUCCAGCCAUGCCGCGUGUGUGAAGAAGGUCUUCGGAUUGUAAAGCACUUUAAGUUGGGAGGGAGGGCAGUAAGUUAAUACCUUGCUGUUUUGACGUUACCAACAGAACAAGCACCGGCUAACUUCGUG
rnacentral:rRNA from 1 species